UUGGUUCAUAAUUAAUUAUGCUGGGUAUAUUAAUCUAUUUUUGCCACUUUAAAUAAUAUUUGGAAUUUUCGAGGAAGAAAAUACCGUUAGAGUGGUGUUGUUUGGAACUUAUAGAAUUAUCGAAAUAAAUUGGUGUUUAAAACUAGUGGUAUUGUCUGGAGCUUAUAGAAUCAUCGAAAUAAAUUGGUGUUUAAAAAUAUGACGAGUUGCUAUCUAGACUUAACCGAGAUUAUUAAAGUAAAAUUAUGGUUUUGGUUAUCGAGCUGCUUCGCGCUCGGUCGUUCUUUG
rnacentral:lncRNA from 1 species